AUCCCAACAUUUCGAUGCUCCUAGGGCGC
rnacentral:piRNA from 1 species